GGUUAAGCGACUAAGCGUACACGGUGGAUGCCCUGGCAGUCAGAGGCGAUGAAGGACGUGCUAAUCUGCGAAAAGCGCCGGCGAGGUGAUAUGAACCCUUGACCCGGCGAUGUCCGAAUGGGGAAACCCAGUGUGUUCCGACACACUAUCGUUAACUGAAUACAUAGGUUAACGAGGCGAACCGGGGGAACUGAAACAUCUAAGUACCCCGAGGAAAAGAAAUCAACCGAGAUUCCCCCAGUAGCGGCGAGCGAACGGGGAGCAGCCCGGAGUCUGAAUCAGCUUGUGUGUUAGUGGAACGGUCUGGAAAGUCCGACGGUACAGGGUGAUAGUCCCGUACACGAAAGCACACUUGCUGUGAACUCGAAGAGUAGGGCGGGACACGUGGUAUCCUGUCUGAAUAUGGGGGGACCAUCCUCCAAGGCUAAAUACUCCUGACUGACCGAUAGUGAACCAGUACCGUGAGGGAAAGGCGAAAAGAACCCCGGCGAGGGGAGUGAAAAAGAACCUGAAACCGUGUACGUACAAGCAGUGGGAGCACCUUCGGGUGUGACUGCGUACCUUUUGUAUAAUGGGUCAGCGACUUAUAUUCUGUAGCAAGGUUAACCGUAUAGGGGAGCCGAAGGGAAACCGAGUCUUAACUGGGCGUUAAGUUGCAGGGUAUAGACCCGAAACCCGGUGAUCUAGCCAUGGGCAGGUUGAAGGUUGGGUAACACUAACUGGAGGACCGAACCGACUAAUGUUGAAAAAUUAGCGGAUGACCUGUGGCUGGGGGUGAAAGGCCAAUCAAACCGGGAGAUAGCUGGUUCUCCCCGAAAGCUAUUUAGGUAGCGCCUCGUGAACUCAUCUUCGGGGGUAGAGCACUGUUUCGGCUAGGGGGCCAUCCCGGCUUACCAACCCGAUGCAAACUACGAAUACCGAAGAAUGUUAUCACGGGAGACACACGGCGGGUGCUAACGUCCGUCGUGAAGAGGGAAACAACCCAGACCGCCAGCUAAGGUCCCAAAGUCAUGGUUAAGUGGGAAACGAUGUGGGAAGGCACAGACAGCCAGGAUGUUGGCUUAGAAGCAGCCAUCAUUUAAAGAAAGCGUAAUAGCUCACUGGUCGAGUCGGCCUGCGCGGAAGAUGUAACGGGGCUAAACCAUGCACCGAAGCUGCGGCAGCGACACUAUGUGUUGUUGGGUAGGGGAGCGUUCUGUAAGCCGUUGAAGGUGUGCUGUGAGGCAUGCUGGAGGUAUCAGAAGUGCGAAUGCUGACAUAAGUAACGAUAAAGCGGGUGAAAAGCCCGCUCGCCGGAAGACCAAGGGUUCCUGUCCAACGUUAAUCGGGGCAGGGUGAGUCGACCCCUAAGGCGAGGCCGAAAGGCGUAGUCGAUGGGAAACAGGUUAAUAUUCCUGUACUUGGUGUUACUGCGAAGGGGGGACGGAGAAGGCUAUGUCAGCCGGGCGACGGUUGUCCCGGUUUAAGCAUGUAGGCGGAGGUUCCAGGUAAAUCCGGUACCUUAUUAACGCUGAGGUGUGAUGACGAGGCACUACGGUGCUGAAGUGAUAAAUGCCCUGCUUCCAGGAAAAGCCUCUAAGCAUCAGGUAACACGAAAUCGUACCCCAAACCGACACAGGUGGUCAGGUAGAGAAUACCAAGGCGCUUGAGAGAACUCGGGUGAAGGAACUAGGCAAAAUGGUGCCGUAACUUCGGGAGAAGGCACGCUGAUAUGUAGGUGAAGUCCCUGCGGACGGAGCUGAAAUCAGUCGAAGAUACCAGCUGGCUGCAACUGUUUAUUAAAAACACAGCACUGUGCAAACACGAAAGUGGACGUAUACGGUGUGACGCCUGCCCGGUGCCGGAAGGUUAAUUGAUGGGGUUAGCGGCAACGCGAAGCUCUUGAUCGAAGCCCCGGUAAACGGCGGCCGUAACUAUAACGGUCCUAAGGUAGCGAAAUUCCUUGUCGGGUAAGUUCCGACCUGCACGAAUGGCGUAAUGAUGGCCAGGCUGUCUCCACCCGAGACUCAGUGAAAUUGAACUCGCUGUGAAGAUGCAGUGUACCCGCGGCAAGACGGAAAGACCCCGUGAACCUUUACUAUAGCUUGACACUGAACACUGGUCCUUGA
rnacentral:rRNA from 2 species